AAAGAAACGUAGCAUCCUGACGAAUAUGUAAACAUAUGUAUAUUUCAACCAGAAGGAGCAAUUAACCCAGCAUGAACUUACCCUGUUGUUGUUAGACAUGAAAUGUAACAGAAACGAGAUGACCACGAAAUCCAGCCAAUUCCAAGCAUCUCUUAAAUAAGUAAAUUUUUCCAAGAUAAACCCUCUCGCCAUGACCUUCACCGCUGAUUCGAAAGUGAGGGUGGUCCUUACUCUGUUGACUCUGUGAGUGGUGAAGCUGGCAAAAUCAUGACGUAACAAUUGGUAAGAAUGGUUGUGAUGAUAACGACAGAAAAUAAACCAUUCAUUUGAUAAGUCACACAUGAAAAUAAUUUACCAGGAUUGAAAGGAUCAAGCAGCCAUACAGCCUUCGUUGCAGAGAAACGGAAAAUGUCUUUCUUUUUG